UUGUUUUUCUCUUGUUUUUCUCUUGCAUCCAAAUCCCAUUAGCGUUCAUUGGAGUGAAUCGUGUGCAGUGAUGGAGAAAAUGAAGCCCCAUGUAUUCGUGUUGCUGAGAUCGUUCUGCUCAUAUCUUUAUUACUCAGUGCAUAUUUGCCCUUCGUGUUUCACAUCACCAUAGAACUCAAUUUUUCUCUUACCAGAUAAUUUGUUGGUUUACAGAGAGUAUUUGAUCUUGGUUCUUUUUCCUCCUGCAAAAUUGAUCUAAACCCAUCAUUCUGAGACAGCUGGUGCUGUCAGCCUGUGCUCCCUGUGCAAAGCCAACUCAUCCCAGCCAGUGACUCCAACUUUUAUCCGUAAUUAUUGAGGUGCAGUCAUCAUCCAUUACAACUUCAGUCCUGAGCAGAAUCUACUCUGUCCAUGGUAGAAAACUUCAGUUCCCCCACCUCAGGUUUUCCAAAAGGAGGCUGCUUGACAGGCAUUAAGGAAUCUGAGUGGCUUCAGCACAGAGAUGCAAAUGGUUAUGAAGGACUUUUCCCAGAGAACUUCACACGCCACCUGGAACAGUUCUUCUCACAGGACACGAAUGUGGUUUGAAGCUCAGUCAGUGGGUUCUUCACCUUGAAACACAGGAGCCCCCUUUUUUUGUAGUUCAGGCUGUUAAUGGUUUACAGAUUGGUUGCUUGUUGAAGCAUAUCAAAAUGAGCAUGAGUGCAAGCAGUUAAGCUAGCCAUUUCUGAAGCACUGUGUGAAAAAAAAAUCAAAUACAAGCAGAAAUGUCCUCAUUUGUUCACAUGCACGUGGCAACAGGUUUGUUUGUGCUUUGCCAGAGCUGUGGUGAUCCUGUGUUUGGUCCUUUCCCAUGAAAUCCAAAAUUAGCCUCCUUGGUAGCAAAACCUGAACUUGUCUGCACUCAGUGCAUCGUAUUGAGUUGCACUGCAGAAAACUUAAUUAGUAAUCCUGUAGUAAUGAGGUCAAACUAUUACAAGUUUCACGUGUUUAAAAAAUAUAAUUAACUGCUGCAGCGUUUUCCAGUGUUACUUUUGGACGUGCACAGUGUAUCUACGGGAACUUGGACGUGUGUCUGCAGGUGCAUGUGGGUAUGUGUGCAUCUCAGCAAUGUCAUGCAGUGCUUUGGCUGUGCAGUGCCAUCAGGGCAUGCAUUGCUCUCCCACUGUCUGGCAUUCCAGACAACAGUUUUGUUCCAAAGCAGAACCAGCUGCUCCAUUGCCAAAGCACUGCACAGCGUCCGUGUGAGUGAGGUGAGGUUUUCAUUCUGAGAUGAUGAAUGGCAUCAUUGUCAAAGCUGCUGAACCUUUGAGAAGGCAUGGCUUGGUUUCCUCUUCCAGCUGCAGUAGUUACAGUGAGGUAAUCUGGAAGGGGAACUGUUAUGAUGCUCAUCUAUACUUUUCUAUUUAGUUGGCUGAAUAAAAAAAAACACGACAAAGUUAAUCUCUGAGAAAUAUCUUUUCACAAUAAUAUUUAUGCAGCGUACCUUCACAGAUCCUUUUAAAUUAAGGUACAUAAUGUAUGCUGUAUCAAAAAGUCACCUGUAACUUCUGUUUUCCAGAGCUGUGUCAUUAAAAAUAAACCUGUGAUCCACA